rnacentral:lncRNA from 1 species
AGGUCGCUGCCUCCUUCCCAGACCCAAGUCCCUUGCCGGGAGCAGUCCCUCCACUCGCCUGCUGACACUGGAAGAAGCCCAGGCACGAACUCAGGGUCGUCUUGGAACACCGACGGAGCCCACGACUCCUAAGACUCCAGCCUCACCCGUGGAAAGGAGGAAGAGAGAGAGAGUGGAGAAACAAAGGAAGCCUGGGGGUAGCAGCUGGAAGACAUUCUUUGCUCUGGGGCGGGGCCCCAGCAUACCCCGGAAGAAGCCGCUGCCAUGGCUGAGUGGCAGCCGAGCCCCUCCACAGCCUUCAGGCAGCAGACCCGACACUGUCACUCUGAGAUCUGCCAAAAGUGAGGAGUCUCUGUCAUCCCAGGCCAGCGGGGCUGGCCUCCAGAGGCUGCACCGGCUACGACGACCCCA